rfam:Ovis aries breed Texel chromosome 18, whole genome shotgun sequence.
UCCCUGGUGGCUCAGUGGUAAAGGAUUGGCCUGCCAAUGCAGGAGACCCAGGUUCGAUCCCUGGUUGGGGAG